ensembl:snoRNA
UUGGCCCUGAAUCAAGGCCAGCAGUUCGCUGAAGCUGUUGGUUUCAAGCAGGAGCCUAAAGAAUUACCUUUCUAUGGUCUGUUGGCCAUUUCAGAACUUUGGAAAUGUAAUGGUCAAUUCAUUAGAAGGAAACCGUA